CGGCUGAGUAACGCGUGGGUGACGUACCUAUCGGUGGGGAAUAACUGCCCGAAAGGGUGGCUAAUACCGCAUACGUCCACUGCUUCGUGGCAGUGGGGAAAACCUUGUAAGAGGUGCCGAUGGAGCGGCCCGCGUUCGAUUAGCUGGUUGGUGGGGUAACGGCCUACCAAGGCGACGAUCGAUAGCUGGUCUCAGAGGAUGAUCAGCCAGACUGGGACUGAGACACGGCCCAG
rnacentral:rRNA from 1 species